UCGAUUCCCUUAGUAGCGGCGAGCGAAACGGGAAGAGCCCAAACCAACAAGCUUGCUUGUUGGGGUUGUAGGACACUCUAUACGGAGUUACAAAGGACGACAUUAGACGAAUCAUCUGGAAAGAUGAAUCAAAGAAGGUAAUAAUCCUGUAGUCGAAAAUGUUGUCUCUCUUGAGUGGAUCCUGAGUACGACGGAGCACGUGAAAUUCCGUCGGAAUCUGGGAGGACCAUCUCCUAAGGCUAAAUACUCUCUAGUGACCGAUAGUGAACCAGUACCGUGAGGGAAAGGUGAAAAGCACCCCGGAAGGGGAGUGAAAUAGAACCUGAAACCGUGUGCUUACAAGUAGUCAGAGCCCGUUAAUGGGUGAUGGCGUGCCUUUUGUAGAAUGAACCGGCGAGUUACGAUUUGAUGCAAGGUUAAGCAGUAAAUGUGGAGCCGUAGCGAAAGCGAGUCUGAAUAGGGCGUUUAGUAUUUGGUCGUAGACCCGAAACCAGGUGAUCUACCCUUGGUCAGGUUGAAGUUCAGGUAACACUGAAUGGAGGACCGAACCGACUUACGUUGAAAAGUGAGCGGAUGAACUGAGGGUAGCGGAGAAAUUCCAAUCGAACCUGGAGAUAGCUGGUUCUCUCCGAAAUAGCUUUAGGGCUAGCCUCAAGUGAUGAUUAUUGGAGGUAGAGCACUGUUUGGACGAGGGGCCCCUCUCGGGUUACCGAAUUCAGACAAACUCCGAAUGCCAAUUAAUUUAACUUGGGAGUCAGAACAUGGGUGAUAAGGUCCGUGUUCGAAAGGGAAACAGCCCAGACCACCAGCUAAGGUCCCAAAAUAUAUGUUAAGUGGAAAAGGAUGUGGCGUUGCCCAGACAACUAGGAUGUUGGCUUAGAAGCAGCCAUCAUUUAAAGAGUGCGUAAUAGCUCACUAGUCGAGUGACACUGCGCCGAAAAUGUACCGGGGCUAAACAUAUUACCGAAGCUGUGGAUUGUCCUUUGGACAAUGGUAGGAGAGCGUUCUAAGGGCGUUGAAGCAUGAUCGUAAGGACAUGUGGAGCGCUUAGAAGUGAGAAUGCCGGUGUGAGUAGCGAAAGACGGGUGAGAAUCCCGUCCACCGAUUGACUAAGGUUUCCAGAGGAAGGCUCGUCCGCUCUGGGUUAGUCGGGUCCUAAGCUGAGGCCGACAGGCGUAGGCGAUGGAUAACAGGUUGAUAUUCCUGUACCACCUAUAAUCGUUUUAAUCGAUGGGG
rnacentral:rRNA from 1 species